AAAGCUGUGCUAAUACCGCAUACGCCCUGAGGGGGAAAGCGGGGGAUCGAAAGACCUCGCGCGAUUAGAGCGGCCGAUGCCUGAUUAGCUUGUUGGUGGGGUAAAAGCCCACCAAGGCGACGAUCAGUAGCUGGUCUGAGAGGACGAUCAGCCACACUGGGACUGAGACACGGCCCAGACUCCUACGGGAGGCAGCAGUGGGGAAUUUUGGACAAUGGGGGCAACCCUGAUCCAGCAAUGCCGCGUGAGUGAAGAAGGCCUUCGGGUUGUAAAGCUCUUUUGUCAGGGAAGAAACACCGGCUCUAACACAGUCCGGGAAUGACGGUACCUGAAGAAUAAGCACCGGCUAA
rnacentral:rRNA from 1 species